GCCAGCGUAGCUUCAAUUGGCAGAGCAUCGCAUUCGUAAUGCGAGGGUUGCCGGUUCAAAUCCGGCCGCUGGCU
rfam:Rhodopirellula sp. SWK7 cSWK70117, whole genome shotgun sequence.